GGGGCCGGGGGGGCGGGGUCCCAGCUCUGUGCUCGCGCCCCCAGCACGCCAGUCCCGGGGCUGCAGGGAGCGCAGCGCGCGCGGCCCGGGCCCCGGCCACCGGACGCCCUACCGGACACGACCCUCCCUGGAGCUUGGACAACUGCCCACCUCGGACGCUGCACCGGACACUGCCCCCCACAGGGCUGGACGCUCCAACGGACACUACUUCCCAGCUCCGGACAUUGCUCCCUCCUCUCCCCGGGCCCUGGACGCUUUUCCCCCUCCCCCCUCCGGGGGCCCAGACACCGAACCCCCCUCAGCGUCUGGCUAGCGUCCCCUUGCACCCCAGCCCAGGACACUGCCUCCUCCCUGUCCCUUUCUCCCUCCUGCUCCUCCCACCUCAUCUUUCCCUUGCUCGGGUCGGAGCCCCGCCAGUUCCUCCGACCCCCUGCUGCUCGGCCGCGGCUGCCCGCGCCCCCAUCCCCCGGCUCCUCGUCCGGAUGCCUCUUCCCGGGGGACUGUGGUGGCUUCUCUGCUGCCGUCGAGGCUUCACUCUUCUACACCGGGACUACGGGGACGGCGAGCUUAGCGGGGACGGGGACGAGGACGAGGACGAGGAAACCUUUGAGCUACGGACCCCGAGUCCGGCGGGCGGCGGGAGGGGUCCCCUGGAAGUGACACUGACUCAGCCAGUGAGGAGCGGGCCAGUCUCCCACAGGCUGCAGAGCUGGGAGGAAACUUGGAGCCUCAUCCCGGAGAAAGGGCUGCCGGAGGACGACCCAGACAUCGUUGUGAAAGGUUGGCUGUACCGGGAGCCCCGCGGAGGAGGGGCGCGGCCCUGGCUACCCCCACGCCGAGCCUGGUUCGUGCUCACGCGGGACUCCCUGGAUCAGUUCAGCAGCAGCGGGAAGGGGGCGCGGCGCCUCGGGAGUCUUGUACUCACCAGCCUGUGCUCGGUGACAGGUCCAGAGCGCAGGCGUAAGGAGACAGGUUUGUGGUCAGUGACUGUGUCUGGCCGGAAGCACAGUGUCCGCCUCUGCUCCCCACGCCAGGCAGAGGCCGAGCGCUGGGGGGUGGCAUUGCGGGAAGUGAUUGCCUCCAAGGCACCCCUGGAGACCCCCACCCAGCUACUGCUCAGGGACAUACAGGAAAGUUGUGGGGACCCAGAGGCCGUUGCCCUUAUUUACCUGCGGAACCCAAUUCUGAGACACACCAGUGGAGCCUUGUAUGCCCCGCUCCUGCCCCUGCCCUAUGGAGUCAGCGCCCCAGGUCCGGGCUAUGCACCCCUGCGCGAGGAGGCGGUGCGGCUGUUCCUGGCGCUGCAGGCGCUGGAGGGGGCGCGGCGCCCCGGGCCCUUAAUGCAGGGUGUGCUCCAAACUUGCCGGGACUUGCCCGCGCUCCGGGAUGAACUCUUCCUGCAGCUGGCUAAGCAGACCUCGGGCCCUGCAGGCCCCCCCGGGCUCCCGGCUACCCGAGACCCUGCGACCCUGCGGUACUGGCAACUCCUCACCUGCAUGAGCUGCACCUUCCGGCCUGGGGUAGCUGUACGGGGACACCUCCUGGGGCACUUGGAGAGGACCGAGCAGGCACUCCCGGACUCGGAACUGGCGGAAUAUGCGCGCUUCAUCCGGAAAGCGCUGGGCCGGACUCGUGGCCGCGAGCUGGUGCCUUCGUUGGCGGAGAUUUCCGCGCUGAGCCGACGGCAGGAGCUGCUGUGCACCGUGCACUGUCCGGGGGCUGGUGCCUGUGCUGUGGCCAUCGACUCCCACACCACAGCGGGCGAGGUGAGGCCAGAGAAAGGCCCCAUGACCUCCAACCCACCUUGCCAGCUUCUCACGCCUGCCUCUCCCGCUUCCUGGGCCCUAGGUUUGCCCCGAGUGUCAGAUUAUUUUGGUAAGGGAUGGAGUGGUGGUGACAGGACUAAGAGACCCUUUCCAAUUGAAUCAGCCCCUCCCAUAAUCCUGGCAAUAUCCCUGAGUGGUCUUACUUCCCCCUCACCCUCCUCUUCUAGGUGGCUCGAGAGCUGGUGGGGCGGCUGGGCUUGGCCCGGAGUCGCAAUGCAUUCGCGCUGUACGAGCAGCGAGGGGCCCAGGAGCGAGCGCUGGCUGGGGGGACCCUCGUGGCCGACGUGCUCACCAGGUUUGAGAACUUGGCAGCGGAGGAAGCUGGGCUGGAGGACUCCUCCGAUUCCGGGUGGAGACUGUGUCUGCGUCUUCAUGGACCUCUGCACCCUGAGGGGCUGUCCCCAGACGGUCACGAACUGCCUUUUCUCUUUGAGCAGGCUCACGCUCUGCUGCUGCGGGGCCGGCCGCCCCCGCCAGACGACACGCUGCGCGCCCUGGCGGCGCUACGCCUGCAGAGCCUGCACCGGGACUUCUCCCCGCGGGUACCCCUGCCCCGCCUGGAUCGCCUGCUACCGCCCACGGCCCCACGUGAAGACCCGCCCCGCCCGGCCCCCAGGUCACCCCCCUCCGCUGCCGCCCUGCUGGCCGGGGCGCUCUGGAGCCCGGGCCUGGCCAAGAGGCGGGCAGAGCGGGCCCGCCGCGGCGGGGCCGGCCGCAUGGCGGGAACCACGGCCCGCGAAGGAGGCGGCAGCGCCAGCACGGCAGCUGCGGUGCUGGGCAGCUGGAAGCGGCUACGGGGCAUGGGCCGAGCAGAGGCCAUGGCCGCCUACCUGACCCUGGCGGCGCAGUGUCCGGGGUUCGGCGCUGCUCGGAGCCUGGUGGGGGUGCUCCACAAAAGCUAUGCCUGGGCUUGGGAGCCAAGGCCAUGUCCCUCUCCCGGCCAGGGGAGACAGAGCCCAUCCACAGUGUCAGCUAUGGCCAUGUGGCCGCCUGCCAGCUAAUGGGCCCCCACACCCUGGCACUGAGGGUGGGGGAGAGUCAGCUCCUCCUGCAGAGCCCCCAGGUAGAAGAGAUCAUGCAGCUGGUGAAUGCCUACUUGGCCAACCCCUCCCCCGAGAGGCCCUGCAGCAGCUCUUCUCCUCCAUGCCAAGACCUGCCAGACACCUCCCCUCCCAGCCAGCACCCGGGCCUGGACGAGCCCCAGGGACAGUCUGGCUGCUUGGGGCAGCUGCAGGACUGAGCCUGCCAAGAGGUCACGACAUCUCGCCUGCCUCCAGCCUGGGCCAGGACUGCUCUGAGAUUUGAGGGAAACGUGGACCCUUUUGGCCCUGCAGGGACAGGGCACAUCCCACAUCCAAGGGCUACAAUGGGUGUGGGCAAUUUUCUAGUUUGUUUCUUAAUUUAUUUGUAGAAGAGAAGCAAAAAAAAAAAAGUUUCUUAUUUACACAAA